rnacentral:lncRNA from 1 species
AUGGCCAAAAACCAAAGCAGAAUGCCCACUCUGCAAACAGCCAUUCUUUUUGAUUUUUCAUACAAUUUGUGCCGAAGGCGACUUUCAGGAAUACAGUCACACCCUCAGAAGAGGACGCUUUGUCCAGCCCAGGGCAGCACCACCACUUUUGCCCAACUAGGCAAAACGCCCUUUUGUUCAACUAGGACGUCUAUGAUCUGCAUGACAAUUACAACUGUCCUACACCAUCAGAUGAUGAAGGAGGUGGCUCAGACUCAAGUUACUGCAGUCUUUCCAGAUGAGGCAGAUUUUCAUGGGUCAGAGCACAGCUCAUCUGUCUCCAGUAUUGGUCAGACUCCCUGGGAUGAUGAAACUCCAGGGCCUUUGUCCUCCAUUUUAGAAGAGUAUGGUACAACCUUAGCUUCUCUGUGGGAGUUAUUAGAGAGCCCUGAUGAGGACUCUGCUUGGAAGAGAACCAUGCUCCAGCUUCAGUUACAGGCCGGUGUUGACUCCAGAGACAGUGACUCUUCAUCAGAGUAUCACGAUAUCGCUGGCUGUGUUAAUCUCUACGCUGACAGGGCACCACAACUGACUGAGCUGUCCUCAGACUCUGAGGUCUCCACUGGGGAGAAGAGGGAAGAUGUGAACAAAGAGCAGUCAAUCCAGGGUCACAGAUGGAGUGACAGAGAACCAAGCAGAAGUUCAUCACCUCACUCCCCCUUGUACAAGGAGCAUGUGAGUAGUUGUCAAAGCUCUGUAUUCUCUGUAGUCAAGAGGACAGUGUCAAAGGAUGAACAAAAGAACAAAGAUAAAAUAAAAGAUCCUUCUCUGCACGACUCAGCCUCGAGCCUGCCUCCAGGGACAGCCAAUGCGUGCUCUCCUUGUAGCCAGACACUGUCCCGAAAGAGAAAGACCAGGAGUCUGCAGGCUUACCCACAGAACAGUGUUGACAGUCAUGGCCAUCAGCCUUGGAGGAAGCGUCACAGUGAACACCAGCUUAAAAAGAGACAAGAAGCAGAGACUGUCGCAAACAUGUAA